UGGAGAAUAUUGGACAAUGGGGGAAACCCUGAUCCAGCAAUGCCGCGUGAGUGAAGAAGGCCUUAGGGUUGUAAAGCUCUUUCGCCCGCGAAGAUAAUGACGGUAGCGGGAGAAGAAGCCCCGGCUAACUCCGUGCCAGCAGCCGCGGUAAUACGGAGGGGGCUAGCGUUGUUCGGAAUUACUGGGCGUAAAGCGUACGUAGGCGGAUGCGCAAGUUGGGGGUGAAAUCCCGGGGCUUAACCUCGGAAUUGCCCUCAAAACUGCACGUCUUGAGACCGAGAGAGGUAAGGGGAAUUCCUAGUGUAGAGGUGAAAUUCGUAGAUAUUAGGAAGAACACCAGUGGCGAAGGCGCCUUACUGGCUCGGUACUGACGCUGAGGUACGAAAGCGUGGGGAGCAAACA
rnacentral:rRNA from 1 species